rnacentral:rRNA from 1 species
UACAGAGGUCCCAAGCGUUGUUCGGAUUUACUGGGCGUAAAGGGUGCGUAGGUGGCGGGGUAAGUCUGGUGUGAAAGCUCCGAGCUCAACUCGGAAAAGCAUUGGAAACUAUCCCGCUUGAGGGUCGGAGGGGAGACUGGAAUUCUCGGUGUAGCAGUGAAAUGCGUAGAUAUCGAGAGGAACACCAGUGGCGAAGGCGGGUCUCUGGGCAACUACUGACGCUGAGGAGCGAAAGCGUGGGGAGCGAACAGG